rnacentral:rRNA from 1 species
UACGAAGGUGGCAAGCGUUGUUCGGAUUUACUGGGCGUACAGGGAGCGUAGGCGGUUGGAUAAGCCCUCCGUGAAAUCUCCAGGCUUAACCUGGAAAGUGCAGAGGGGACUGUUCAGCUAGAGGAUGGGAGAGGAGCGCGGAAUUCCAGGUGUAGCGGUGAAAUGCGUAGAUAUCUGGAGGAACACCGGUGGCGAAGGCGGCAUCCUGGACUAAUUCUGACGCUGAUGAGCGAAAGCCAGGGGAGCAAACGGG